rnacentral:misc_RNA from 1 species
GUAGGUGAACCUGCGGAAGGAUCAUUAACACGUAUCCACGUAUCAACCAACCGUGAACUUGUUUUCACUCACUUAUUUCACCCCCCUUUUUGCUAGUUGACUUUUAUAUGUUGGUAUAUUCGUACUUUAUUGUAUGAGUGCAUCACACGUUUAUUAUUUGAACGUUAAAAUUACAACUCUUAGCAAUGGAUAUCUUGGUUCUCGCAUCGAUGAAGAACGCAGCAUCUGACUGACUCGACAGCUGACAAUC